GGAACCUCCCGGUAAGCAAACAACAGGGGAAAGGCUUCUGGGAACCGGGUUGCGUAGUCGCACACUACCAGAAUAUAUUUAUGUCCAGUGCGGCUACGUUCGACAGGACCCACAAUAUCAACCGCUAUUCUGGAAAAAGGCUCUUCCACUACAGGCAAAGACUGCGAACCCUUUGUGGCCUUGUCAAAGCAGACACGCAGACUGGGGUCGUC